AACAAACAGAGCAAGAAAUGAACAAAUAACUACAUAAUGACUGAUAAUGAUAAGUGAUAAUAAUAACUUUAAUGAUAUGAAGGCUGAUGAAGGUAAUUAUAAACAUUAUUUUGAGUUUGUUUAAUAAAAUAUAGGAUACAAUAUAACUAAGCAAAAUCAAACAGUUUUAGACAACCAAUACAAGAUUUUAGAACUUGACAUCGUGAUAAACAAAUUGUACAUUCAGGAACUCGUUUAAAUAUUAUAGGUUGAUUGACGAAUACUCUACAGUUGAUUAGAGCCCAUGAUGAUGCGAAGAUAAUUAAUAUCACCUAACUUCAAGAAACCAGCGUAAAGAAGUUUACAUUCACAACUCAUCUAACCAUUAUAGAUCAGUAGUGUCGUCAUAGUUUAAAUGAACUCACAGAUAGCAAUGGGGCACUGCACCGAAGCAGUAUUACAAAAUAUGUGAAAUAAAACUGUAAUACAAAUUGCUCUAUAAAAUUUAAUAGAAAUAAAUUUAUUUAUGAAAAUUAAGUUAUGAAG